rnacentral:rRNA from 1 species
UACGUAGAAGACUAGUGUUAUUCAUCUUUAAUAGGUUUAAAAGGGUCCUAGACGGUAUAAUUAGUCUUUAACAGGAAACGGUUAUACUAGAGUUAUAUAUGAGGAGGUGAGUAUUUGUGGAGUAGAGUUGAAAUUCUUUGAUACCAUGAAGACUGGUAAAGGCGAAAGCAACCUUUUAUCUAAUAACUGACGUUGAGGGACGAAGGCUCGGGUCGCGAACAGG